rnacentral:rRNA from 1 species
GACGAACGCUGGCGGCGUGCCUAAUACAUGCAAGUCGAGCGAGCUUGCCUAGAUGAAUUUGGUGCUUGCACCAGAUGAAACUAGAUACAAGCGAGCGGCGGACGGGUGAGUAACACGUGGGUAACCUGCCCAAGAGACUGGGAUAACACCUGGAAACAGAUGCUAAUACCGGAUAACAACACUAGACGCAUGUCUAGAGUUUAAAAGAUGGUUCUGCUAUCACUCUUGGAUGGACCUGCGGUGCAUUAGCUAGUUGGUAAGGUAACGGCUUACCAAGGCAAUGAUGCAUAGCCGAGUUGAGAGACUGAUCGGCCACAUUGGGACUGAGACACGGCCCAAACUCCUACGGGAGGCAGCAGUAGGGAAUCUUCCACAAUGGACGCAAGUCUGAUGGAGCAACGCCGCGUGAGUGAAGAAGGGUUUCGGCUCGUAAAGCUCUGUUGGUAGUGAAGAAAGAUAGAGGUAGUAACUGGCCUUUAUUUGACGGUAAUUACUUAGAAAGUCACGGCUAACUACGUGCCAGCAGCCGCGGUAAUACGUAGGUGGCAAGCGUUGUCCGGAUUUAUUGGGCGUAAAGCGAGUGCAGGCGGUUCAAUAAGUCUGAUGUGAAAGCCUUCGGCUCAACCGGAGAAUUGCAUCAGAAACUGUUGAACUUGAGUGCAGAAGAGGAGAGUGGAACUCCAUGUGUAGCGGUGGAAUGCGUAGAUAUAUGGAAGAACACCAGUGGCGAAGGCGGCUCUCUGGUCUGCAACUGACGCUGAGGCUCGAAAGCAUGGGUAGCGAACAGG